rnacentral:rRNA from 1 species
GGAAUAAUCAUUAGUUUUUUAAUUUAAGACUGGUAUGAAUGGUUUCACUAAAUAAUUCUGUCUUAUAAUAAUAUUUUGAAGUUCAUUUUUUGAUAAAAAAGUCAAAAUCUUAUUCAGGGACAAGAAGACCCUGUCAAGCUUUACAAAAUAAUCUGCUUAUCUUGAUGUUGAUAAAUUUUGUUUAACUGGGGCAGUUGAUAAAUAAUGUUAUUUUUAUAUUAUGAAAUUUAUUUCUUAUUGUAUCAGGAAAUUCCUAAAAAAGAAUUAGUUACUGCAGGGAUAACAGCGUAAUUCUCUUUAAGAGUUCUUAUCAUCAAGAGAGUUUGCGACCUCGAUGUUGGAUUAAAAGACCUAUUUCCCGCAAUAGGGUGAAAA